CUCGGAAGUGCAGCAGCGAUGGAGAGAAGAAGUAUUGGUGGGAUGAGCCAACAAUUUCAGAGCUGAAUUUGCAUCAAAGCCAUCAGCUGCUUUGGGUUCGAGCUAAGCAUAUGGUUUAUGACUAUUGUACGGAUAGCAGUAGGUUCCCAGUUACUCCUGCUGAGUGCGUUCAUCACACCCACCAUUAGUGAUGAUGGAUUUGGUUUGGG
rnacentral:misc_RNA from 1 species